rnacentral:rRNA from 1 species
CGGGAAUCUUCCGCAAUGGACGAAAGUCUGACGGAGCAAUGCCGCGUGAGUGAAGAAGGUUUUCGGAUCGUAAAACUCUGUUGUUAGAGAAGAACAAGGAUGAGAGUAACUGCUCAUCCCCUGACGGUAUCUAACCAGAAAGCCACGGCUAACUACGUGCCAGCAGCCGCGGUAAUACGUAGGUGGCAAGCGUUGUCCGGAUUUAUUGGGCGUAAAGCGAGCGCAGGCGGUUCUUUAAGUCUGAUGUGAAAGCCCCCGGCUCAACCGGGGAGGGUCAUUGGAAACUGGAGAACUUGAGUGCAGAAGAGGAGAGUGGAAUUCCACGUGUAGCGGUGAAAUGCGUAGAUAUGUGGAGGAACACCAGUGGCGAAGGCGACUCUCUGGUCUGUAACUGACGCUGAGGCUCGAAAGCGUGGGGAGCAAAC